AUUGAACGCUGGCGGCAGGCCUAACACAUGCAAGUCGAGCGAGCGGCGGACGGGUGAGCAAGGGCUGGGCAAGUGGCUGAUGGAGGGGGCUAAGUAGUGGAAACGGUAGCUAAUAGCGCAUACCAUCAGAUGUGGCCAGGUGGGAUUAGCUAGUAGGUGGGGUAAUGGCUGACCUAGGCGACGAUCCCUAGCUGGUCUGAGAGGAUGACCAGCCACACUGGUACUGAGACACGGUCCAGACUCCUACGGGAGGCAGCAGUGGGGAAUAUGGGACAAUGGGCGAAAGCCUGAUGCAGCCAUGCCGCGUGUGUGAAGAAGGCCUUCGGGUUGUAAAGCACUUUCAGCGGGGAGGCGUUACUCACAGAAGAAGCACCGGCUAACUCCGUGCCAGCAGCCGCGGUAAUUC
rnacentral:rRNA from 1 species